rnacentral:rRNA from 1 species
AUUGAUUUUAUGCUUGCAUAAAUGAUUUUUGGAUUCGGAGCGAGUGGCGAACUGGUGAGUAACACGUGGGUAACCUGCCCCGAAGCGGGGGAUAACAUUUGGAAACAAGUGCUAAUACCGCAUAAUUAGUUGGAACCGCAUGGUUCCAACUUGAAAGAUGGCUCUGCUAUCACUUUGGGAUGGACCCGCGCCGUAUUAGUUAGUUGGUGAGAUAAAAGCCCACCAAGACGAUGAUACGUAGCCGACCUGAGAGGGUAAUCGGCCACAUUGGGACUGAGACACGGCCCAGACUCCUACGGGAGGCAGCAGUAGGGAAUCUUCCACAAUGGACGAAAGUCUGAUGGAGCAACGCCGCGUGAGUGAUGAAGGUUUUCGGAUCGUAAAACUCUGUUGUUAAAGAAGAACAAGUGUUAGAGUAACUGUUAACACUUUGACGGUAUUUAACCAGAAAGCCACGGCUAACUACGUGCCAGCAGCCGCGGUAAUACGUAGGUGGCAAGCGUUGUCCGGAUUUAUUGGGCGUAAAGCGAGCGCAGGCGGUUUUGUAAGUCUGCUGUGAAAGCCCUCAGCUCAACUGGGGAAGUGCAGUGGAAACUACAAAACUUGAGUACAGAAGAGGAAAGUGGAACUCCAUGUGUAGCGGUGAAAUGCGUAGAUAUAUGGAAGAACACCAGUGGCGAAGGCGGCUUUCUGGUCUGUUACUGACGCUGAGGCUCGAAAGCAUGGGUAGCGAACAGGAUUAGAUACCCUGGUAGUCCAUGCCGUAAACGAUGAAUACUAGGUGUUGGAGGGUUUCCGCCCUUCAGUGCCGCAGCUAACGCAUUAAGUAUUCCGCCUGGGGAGUACGACCGCAAGGUUGAAACUCAAAGGAAUUGACGGGGGCCCGCACAAGUGGUGGAGCAUGUGGUUUAAUUCGAUGCUACGCGAAGAACCUUACCAGCUCUUGACAUCUUCUGCCAACCCAAGAGAUUGGGCGUUCCCUUCGGGGACAGAAUGACAGGUGGUGCAUGGUUGUCGUCAGCUCGUGUCGUGAGAUGUUGGGUUAAGUCCCGCAACGAGCGCAACCCUUAUUAUUAGUUGCCAGCAUUUAGUUGGGCACUCUAGUGAGACUGCCGGUGAUAAA